rnacentral:rRNA from 1 species
AUUCCGGUUGAUCCUGCCGGACCCGACCGCUAUCGGGGUGGGGCUAAGCCAUGCAAGUCAGGGCUCCGGGCAAUGGCGGGGCCCGGCGGACGGCUCAGUAGCACGUGGCUAACCUACCCUCGGGACGGGGAUAUCCCCGGGAAACUGGGGGUAAUCCCCGAUAGGUGCGGACUCCUGGAAUGGGUCCGCGCCGAGAGGGGUGCAGCGCCACGCCCGCUGCACCCGCCCGAGGAUGGGGCUGCGCCCCAUCAUGGUAGUUGGCGGGGUAACGGCCCGCCAAGCCGAAGACGGGUGGGGGCCGUGAGAGCGGGAGCCCCGAGAUGGGCACUGAGACAAGGGCCCAGGCCCUACGGGGCGCAGCAGGCGCGAAACCUCCGCAAUGCGGGAACCGCGACGGGGUCACCCCGAGUGCCGCCCGAUGAGGGCGGCUUUUCCCCGGUGUAAGAAGCCGGGGGAAUAAGCGGGGGGCAAGUCUGGUGUCAGCCGCCGCGGUAAUACCAGCCCCGCGAGUGGUCGGGACUUUUAUUGGGCCUAAAGCGUCCGUAGCCGGCCCGGUAAGUCCCUCCUCAAAGCCCACGGCUCAACCGUGGGACGGGAGGGAUACUGCCGGGCUAGGGGGCGGGAGAGGCCGGGGGUACUCCCGGGGUAGGGGCGAAAUCCGUUAAUCCCGGGAGGACCGCCAGUGGCGAAGCGCCCGGGCUGGAACGCGCCCGACGGUGAGGGACGAAAGCUGGGGGGGAGCAAAGGGGAUUAGAUACCCCCCGUUAGUUCCCAGCUUGUUAACGUCUG